rnacentral:tRNA from 1 species
ACUAUUUUGGCAGAAAAGUGCCAUGAAUUUAGAAUUCAUUAAUGUAAGGAUUCUUCUUACAGAUAGUA